CCUACGGGAGGCAGCAGUAGGGAAUGUUCGUCAAUGGGCGCAAGCCUGAACGAGCGAUGCCGCGUGAGUGAAGAAGGCCUUCGGGUCGUAAAGCUCUGUUGCGGGGGAAAAAAGGCAGCAUCAGGAAAUGGGUGCUGACUGAUGGUGCCCCGCCAGAAAGGCACGGCUAACGACGUGCCAGCAGCCGCGGUAAUACGUAGGUGGCGAGCGUUAUCCGGAAUGAUUGGGCGUAAAGGGUGCGCAGGCGGUCCUGCAAGUCUGGAGUGAAACGCAUGAGCUCCACUCCUGCAUGGCUUUGGAAUCUGGCGGACUGGAGAGCAGGAGCGGGCGGUGGCACUCCAUUUGUAGCGGUCAACUGCGUCGAUCUCUGG
rnacentral:rRNA from 1 species